AGUUCCAUAGUUUAGUAGUUAGAGCGUUGGAAUAUUAACCCAAAGGUCGUAGGUUCAAAUUUUACUGGGACUA
rnacentral:tRNA from 2 species